GGGCGCAUAGCUCAGUGGGAGAGCACUCGCUUCACACGCGAGGGGUCGGUGGUUCGAGCCCACCUGUGCCCACCA
rnacentral:tRNA from 1 species